rnacentral:rRNA from 1 species
GAUGAACGCUGGCGGCGUGCCUAAUACAUGCAAGUCGAGCGAAUGGAUUGAGAGCUUGCUCUUAUGAAGUUAGCGGCGGACGGGUGAGUAACACGUGGGUAACCUGCCCAUAAGACUGGGAUAACUCCGGGAAGCCGGGGCUAAUACCGGAUAACAUUUUGAACCGCAUGGUUCGAAAUUGAAAGGCGGCUUCGGCUGUCACUUAUGGAUGGACCCGCGUCGCAUUAGCUAGUUGGUGAGGUAACGGCUCACCAAGGCAACGAUGCGUAGCCGACCUGAGAGGGUGAUCGGCCACACUGGGACUGAGACACGGCCCAGAUUCCUACGGGAGGCAGCAGUAGGGAAUCUUCCGCAAUGGACGAAAGUCUGACGGAGCAACGCCGCGUGAGUGAUGAAGGCUUUCGGGUCGUAAAACUCUGUUGUUAGGGAAGAACAAGUGCUAGUUGAAUAAGCUGGCACCUUGACGGUACCUAACCAGAAAGCCACGGCUAACUACGUGCCAGCCGCCGCAGUAA